GCGGCGUGCCUAACACAUGCAAGUCGAACGAAGCUUGACGGAUGAUUUCUUCGGAAUGAAACCUGAUAUGACUUAGUGGCGGACGGGUGAGUAACACGUGAGCAACCUGCCUUUCAGAGGGGGAUAACGGCUGGAAACGGUCGCUAAUACCGCAUGAUGUGUUCGGAUGGCAUCAUCUGAACAUCAAAGAUUUAUCGCUGAAAGAUGGGCUCGCGUCUGAUUAGAUAGUUGGUGGGGUAACGGCCUACCAAGUCUACGAUCAGUAGCCGGACUGAGAGGUUGAACGGCCACAUUGGGACUGAGAUACGGCCCAGACUCCUACGGGAGGCAGCAGUGGGGAAUAUUGCACAAUGGGGGAAACCCUGAUGCAGCAACGCCGCGUGAAGGAUGACGGUUUUCGGAUUGUAAACUUCUUUUCUUAGUGACGAAGACAGUGACGGUAGCUAAGGAAUAAGCAUCGGCUAACUACGUGCCAGCAGCCGCGGUAAUACGUAGGAUGCAAGCGUUAUCCGGAUUUACUGGGUGUAAAGGGAGCGCAGGCGGGACUGCAAGUUGGAUGUGAAAUACCGUGGCUUAACCACGGAACUGCAUCCAAAACUGUAGUUCUUGAGUGAAGUAGAGGCAAGCGGAAUUCCGAGUGUAGCGGUGAAAUGCGUAGAUAUUCGGAGGAACACCAGUGGCGAAGGCGGCUUGCUGGGCUUUAACUGACGCUGAGGCUCGAAAGUGUGGGGAGCAAACAGGAUUAGAUACCCUGGUAGUCCACACUGUAAACGAUGAUAGCUAGGUGUGGGGGGUCUGACCCCUUCCGUGCCGGAGUUAACGCAAUAAGCUAUCCACCUGGGGAGUACGACCGCAA
rnacentral:rRNA from 1 species